rnacentral:rRNA from 1 species
GACGAACGCUGGCGGCGUGCCUAACACAUGCAAGUCGAACGGGGCAGCAAUGCCCAGUGGCGAACGGGUGCGUAACACGUGAGGAACUUGUCCAUCGGCGGGGAUAGCCGGCCCAACGGCCGGGUAAUACCGCGUACGUCGGCGAGACCGCAUGGUCUUGCCGGGAAAGCAGCAAUGCACCGAUGGAGAGCCUCGCGGCCUAUCAGCUAGUUGGUGAGGUAAUGGCUCACCAAGGCGACGACGGGUAGCUGGUCUGAGAGGAUGAUCAGCCACAUUGGGACUGAGACACGGCCCAGACUCCUACGGGAGGCAGCAGUGGGGAAUUUUACGCAAUGGGGGAAACCCUGACGUAGCGACACCGCGUGAACGAAGAAGCCCUUUGGGGUGUAAAGUUCUGUCGGCUGGAACGAAAAAAAUGACGGUACCAGCAAAGGAAGCAUCGGCUAACUACGUGCCAGCAGCCGCGGUAAU